CUCAGAGGAAGGACGGGCUAAGUUCGUGCCAGCAGCCGCGGUAAGACGAACCGUCCAAACGUUAUUCGGAAUCACUGGGCUUAAAGGGUGCGUAGGCGGUCCAGAAAGUUGGGUGUGAAAGCCCUCGGCUUAACCGAGGAAUUGCGUCCAAAACUACUGGACUUGAGGGAGACAGAGGUAAGCGGAACUUAGGGUGGAGCGGUGAAAUGCGUUGAUAUCCUAAGGAACACCAGGAGCGAAAGCGGCUUACUGGGUCUCUUCUGACGCUGAGGCACGAAAGCUAGGGGAGCGAACGGGAUUAGAUACCCCGGUAGUCCUAGCCGUAAACGAUGAGCACUGGGUUGGAGGGUCCUCCAUAGCCUUCUAGCCGUAGCGAAAGUGUUAAGUGCUCCGCCUGGGGAGUAUGGUC
rnacentral:rRNA from 1 species